UAAGACGGAGGGCGCAAGCGUUGUUCGGAAUCACUGGGCAUAAAGGGCGCGUAGGCGGCCAGUUCAGUCGGAUGUGAAAUCCCCCGGCCCAACCGGGGAACUGCAUUCGAUACUGACUGGCUAGAGGAUGGUAGGAGCCAAUGGAACUCCAGGUGGAACGGUGAAAUGUGUAGAUAUCUGGAGGAACACCGGUGGCGAAAGCGAUUGGCUGGGCCAUUUCUGACGCUGAGGCGCGAAAGCUAGGGGAGCGAACGGGAUUAGAUACCCCGGUAGUCCUAGCCGUAAACGAUGGGUACUGGGCAAUGGACUUACCUAUGUGGUUCAUUGCUGUAGCUAAUGUGUUAAGUACCCCGCCUGGGGAGUACGCUCGCAAGGGUA
rnacentral:rRNA from 1 species